rnacentral:tRNA from 1 species
GCAUCGGUGGUUCAGUGGUAGAAUGCUCGCCUACCACGCGGGCGGCCCGGGUUCGAUCCCCGGCCGAUGCA